AACGUAGGAGACAAACGUUAUCCGGAGUUACUGGGCGUAAAGGGCGUGUAGGCGGUUAGUUAAGUCUGGCGUGAAAGCUCUCGGCUAAACCGGGAGAGGUCGUUGGAUACUGGCUGACUAGAGGACGGUAGAGGCGUGUGGAAUUCCGGGUGUAGUGGUGAAAUGCGUAGAGAUCCGGAGGAACACCAGUGGCGAAGGCGGUCUGCUGGGCCAGUACUGACGCUGAGGUACGAAAGCGUGGGUAGCGAACGGG
rnacentral:rRNA from 1 species